CCUACGGGCGGCAGCAGUGAGGAAUAUUGGUCAAUGGGCGGAAGCCUGAACCAGCCAAGUAGCGUGCAGGAUGACGGCCCUACGGGUUGUAAACUGCUUUUAUACGGGAAUAACGCGCCUUACGUGUAGGGCUUUGCAUGUACCGUAUGAAUAAGGACCGGCUAAUUCCGUGCCAGCAGCCGCGGUAAUACGGCAGGUCCGGGCGUUAUCCGGAUUUAUUGGGUUUAAAGGGAGCGUAGGCCGCAUGUCAAGCGUGCUGUGAAAUGUCCGGGCUCAACCCGGGCCUUGCAGCGGUAACUGGCGUGCUCGAGUCCGCGGAAAGCAGGCGGAAUUCGUCGUGUAGCGGUGAAAUGCUUAGAUAUGACGAAGAACCCCGAUUGCGAAGGCAGCUUGCUGCAGCGGAACUGACGCUGAUGCUCGAAAGCGCGGGUAUCGAACAGGAUUAGAUACCCCAGUAGUC
rnacentral:rRNA from 1 species